rnacentral:rRNA from 1 species
GUUGUAUGGUUAAGUGACUAAGCGUACAUGGUGGAUGCCUUGGCAGUCAGAGGCGAUGAAGGACGUACUAACCUGCGAUAAGCCGUGAGCAGUCGGUAAGAGACAUUACGACUCACGGAUUUCCGAAUGGGGAAACCCACUUAGCAUAAGCUAGGUAUCGCUACGUGAAUACAUAGCGUAGCGAGGCGAACCGGGAGAACUGAAACAUCUAAGUACCCCGAGGAAAAGAAAUCAACCGAGAUUCCCUCAGUAGCGGCGAGCGAACGGGGAUUAGCCCUUAAGCAUCUUGGAAGUUAGUGGAACGGUCCUGGAAAGGCCGGCGAUACAGGGUGAUAGCCCCGUACACGAAAACAACCUUGAUGUGAAAUCGAGUAGGGCGGGACACGUGACAUCCUGUCUGAAUAUGGGGGGACCAUCCUCCAAGGCUAAAUACUCCUGACUGACCGAUAGUGAACCAGUACCGUGAGGGAAAGGCGAAAAGAACCCCUGUGAGGGGAGUGAAAUAGAACCUGAAACCGUGUACGUACAAGCAGUGGGAGCCCUUCGGGGUGACUGCGUACCUUUUGUAUAAUGGGUCAGCGACUUACAUUUUGUAGCGAGGUUAACCGUAUAGGGGAGCCGUAGGGAAACCGAGUCUUAACUGGGCGUCUAGUUGCAAGGUGUAGACCCGAAACCGGGUGAUCUAGCCAUGGGCAGGUUGAAGGUUGAGUAACAUCAACUGGAGGACCGAACCCACUAACGUUGCAAAGUUAGGGGAUGACCUGUGGCUGGGGGUGAAAGGCCAAUCAAACUCGGAGAUAGCUGGUUCUCCCCGAAAGCUAUUUAGGUAGCGCCUCGGACGAAUACUACUGGGGGUAGAGCACUGUUUGGGCUAGGGGGUCAUCCCGACUUACCAACCCCAUGCAAACUCCGAAUACCAGUAAGUAAUAUCCGGGAGACACACGGCGGGUGCUAACGUCCGUCGUGAAGAGGGAAACAACCCAGACCGCCGGCUAAGGUCCCAAAGUUCUGGUUAAGUGGGAAACGAUGUGGGAAGGCUCAGACAGCUAGGAUGUUGGCUUAGAAGCAGCCAUCAUUUAAAGAAAGCGUAAUAGCUCACUAGUCGAGUCGGCCUGCGCGGAAGAUGUAACGGGGCUCAAACCAGGCACCGAAGCCGCGGAUUCACGCUAAGCGUGAGUGGUAGGGGAGCGUUCUGUAAGUCUGCGAAGGUGUAUCGAGAGGUAUGCUGGAGAUAUCAGAAGUGCGAAUGCUGACGUAAGUAACGAUAAAGGGGGUGAAAAGCCUCCUCGCCGGAAGACCAAGGGUUCCUGUCCAACGUUAAUCGGGGCAGGGUGAGUCGACCCCUAAGGCGAGGCCGAAAGGCGUAGUCGAUGGGAAGCAGGUUAAUAUUCCUGCACGACUUGUAAUUGCGAUGGGGGGACGGAGAAGGCUAGGUGGGCCAGGCGACGGUUGUCCUGGUGAAAGUGCGUAGGUGGUGUUUCUAGGCAAAUCCGGAGACACAACACUGAGACACGAGACGAACACACUACGGUGUGGAAGCCAUUGAUGCCCUGCUUCCAGGAAAAGCCUCUAAGCUUCAGAUUACAAGUCAUCGUACCCCAAACCGACACAGGUGGUCGGGUAGAGAAUACCAAGGCGCUUGAGAGAACUCGGGUGAAGGAACUAGGCAAAAUAGAACCGUAACUUCGGGAGAAGGUUCGCUCUUGACAGUGAAGUCCCUUGCGGAUGGAGCAGUUGGGAGUCGCAGUGACCAGAUGGCUGGGACUGUUUAUCAAAAACACAGCACUCUGCAAACACGAAAGUGGACGUAUAGGGUGUGACACCUGCCCGGUGCCGGAAGGUUAAUUGAUGGGGUUAGCGCAAGCGAAGCUCUUGAUCGAAGCCCCGGUAAACGGCGGCCGUAACUAUAACGGUCCUAAGGUAGCGAAAUUCCUUGUCGGGUAAGUUCCGACCUGCACGAAUGGUGUAACCAUGGCCAUGCUGUCUCCACCCGAGACUCAGUGAAAUCGAAUUCGCCGUGAAGAUGCGGUGUACCCGCGGCUAGACGGAAAGACCCCGUGAACCUUUACUACAGCUUGGCACUGAACAUUGAACCUACAUGUGUAGGAUAGGUGGGAGGCUUUGAAGGCGUGACGCCAGUUGCGCUGGAGCCGUCCUUGAAAUACCACCCUUGUAUGUUUGAUGUUCUAACGCAGGCCCCUGAAUCGGGGUCGCGGACAGUGCCUGGUGGGUAGUUUGACUGGGGCGGUCUCCUCCCAAAGAGUAACGGAGGAGCACGAAGGUUGGCUAAUCCUGGUCGGACAUCAGGAGGUUAGUGCAAUGGCAUAAGCCAGCUUAACUGCGAGACGGACAGGUCGAGCAGGUACGAAAGUAGGUCAUAGUGAUCCGGUGGUUCUGAAUGGAAGGGCCAUCGCUCAACGGAUAAAAGGUACUCCGGGGAUAACAGGCUGAUACCGCCCAAGAGUUCAUAUCGACGGCGGUGUUUGGCACCUCGAUGUCGGCUCAUCACAUCCUGGGGCUGAAGUCGGUCCCAAGGGUAUGGCUGUUCGCCAUUUAAAGUGGUACGCGAGCUGGGUUCAGAACGUCGUGAGACAGUUCGGUCCCUAUCUGCCGUGGGCGUUGGAUGAUUGAAGGGAGUUGCUCCUAGUACGAGAGGACCGGAGUGAACGAACCUCUGGUGUUCGGGUUGUCACGCCAGUGGCACUGCCCGGUAGCUAAGUUCGGAAUCGAUAACCGCUGAAAGCAUCUAAGCGGGAAGCGAGCCCUGAGAUGAGUCAUCCCUGACCCCUUGAGGGUCCUAAAGGGCCGUUGGAGACCACAACGUUGAUAGGUGGGGUGUGUAAGCGCGGCGACGUGUUGAGCUAACCCAUACUAAUUACCCGUGAGGCUUAACCAUACAACACCCAAGAAGUGUUCU